rnacentral:rRNA from 1 species
GACGAACGCUGGCGGCGUGCCUAAUACAUGCAAGUUGAGCGCUGAAGGUUGGUUCUUGUACCAAUUGGAUGAGCAGCGAACGGGUGAGUCACGCGUGUGGAAUUUGUCUUUGAGCUGGGCACAACAUUUCGAGACCUAUUCUAAUACCGCAUAAAAACUUUAAACACAAGUUUUAAGUUUGAAAGAUGCAUUUGCAUCACUCAAAGAUGAUUCCGCGUUGUAUUAGCUAGUUGGGGAGGUAAACGCUCACCAAGGCGGUGAUACAUAGCCGACCUGGUGAGGGGGUCGGCUAAAGUGGGACUGAGAAACUGCUCAAACCCCUUCGGGGGGCAGGAAUAGGGGAAUAUCGGAAAUGGACGAAAAUCUGAACGAGCAAAGGCGCGGGAGUGAAAAAAGUUUUCGGAUCGUAAAAGUAUGUUGAGAGAGGAGAACGUGGGGGAGAGUGGAAACCUGAUCAAGUGACGGUAACUACCCAGAAAGGGACGGCUAACUACGUG